GGCUGAGUGGCAGAGUGGUCAUGCGGCGGACUGCAAAUCCGUUCACGCCGGUUCAAUUCCGACCUCAGCCUCCA
rnacentral:tRNA from 1 species